CCCAAACCCUAAACUCCUCUCCUCAAUCUCUCCUCUCUACCGCCGCAAGGUGUCCACGACGGCGCCGCCUGCCAAAAUUUGCCACCGGAGGCGGAGCACCAGCAACCAACCCCAAAUUAUUAUUAUACGCUCUCCCCGACCUCUUUUUCUAUAUCUUCAAACCGAAUCCUUCAAAGCCCCACCAUGAAUUUUAGAUCUAGGAAACCCUAGCCGCCACCUUUUUGCCCAAAUUCGUGAAGCUCCAGUCAUCUCCGUCCCAUGACAUAUAGAUAAAUGGACAGAGCUCUACGAGAUGUAUAUUUUCAUGUCAAUUUCCAUCCCAAAACUUCAACAGAAGCCCAAGGCCACCGCCCACCGUCGCCGCUGCCGGCUACGACCACCAGUGCCUUACACCUCCGCCAAACUACUGCUCCUCUUUUCUUUAGCCUAGUUCCGACCCAAGAACAACCGUUUUAUUUUAGUAUGACAUCGAGUUCAUUGAGCUUAGUGUCUACUAAAAUAGAGCGAGUUUUCUACGAUCGGACAACCACUACUCGGGGUCCUUGGCAUCCCUCUCAUUGCUCGAUUUGGCAUUAAAUCCCUCGGUAUGGUAAAACUUCAAUAUGCUUUUCCUUUUUUAUCUGUGCUGAUAUUUUUUUGCUUUUGUAACUAAUAUUAGUUUAAUGGCUUAAUUUCUACACUUGUUAUUUUUAUUUGUGUGCAAAUAAGCUAGGGUAAUAACGAUUUUCAAUUACAUGUUACUUUAUAAAUGUGAAUUUUAUUUCUUCGACCUAGCUGGUCGAGUAGUUCGUUAUUGUCUGUUAGUUCUGAUUUUUGUUUUUUUGACCUAGCCGGUCGAUUAUUUAGUGUGAACUUGUUGAGUCUGAAUUUUAAGUUUUCCGACCUAGCCAGUCGAUAGUUAAGUGUUUUAUACUAGUUUCAUGAAAAAAAAAGAGAUUAGUUUAAUCAUUAACUUAGUUAGUCAUUUUGUUUAAUUGUUGCUAUUAUUUGUCUGAUAAUUUACUAAUGCUCAUCCAAGUUGUAUUUUAUCCACUGUUAGUUUGCAUAAAAUCAUAUUGCUUUAAAUCAGUUUGUUUGGAUGCUCAAUCUGGUUACAAUCAAAGUUUUGUUGUUACUCUAUCUAUUUUGUGAUUGGAUUAGAUUUGGUUAUUUGAGUUUUGUUGAUAAAAGCUGAUGUUGAUCAGAAUAGCGUACAUAGUUGGUAGUUGUUACUAUUUGAAGCAUGCUAGAAAAACAACUGCUUUACUUUGUGUCUAAACUUGGUGAAAAAGGAGGGUUUUUUCUCCUAUUUGGAUAGUCUUUUUGACUGUAUUUGGUGAGAAAAAGUAUGUCCUUUGGACAGAUUUUUGGUAAACUGAAAUCUGUCCAAUAGUGCUUGCUUUUCCUACUUAAAGGGGUCCCCUCUCACUUAUUUUAUAUACAUAAUCUAUCACACAACUGUCAGGUUUUUUACACCCUAAAAACCACAACUAUGAGAGUAAAAAUCAGAAGCUGAAACACCCUUUAGUAAGAUGAAAUUGUUGUUCCAACACGAAUUGCUUGUUUGCUUUGAUGUUGUUUCGCUACUGUUUUCUACUACUUUUGUUCCUGAGCUUCCAUUCUUCAUUGUUGAAUUUAUUAUUCUGCAAUACAAGUAACUCUUGAACCUUUGUGAUGCAAAUUUUGCUAAGCAAUUGCUGAAGAUUUGAACUUGUAAGAUUGUUGGAAUAGAGUUGAAUUCAUUCUGUGAGUUUGCUUAAGCGCUUAACGUUUUUUUGUAUGGUUCAAGCAUGUGAAUAUAGCUAGAAGUUCUAUUCUUCCCUAAAUGUAAUUGAAGCACCCUGUUAAUCUCGUCUGGUCAUAGAAAAAAUCAUGGACUAGCCAAUAUAUUUUUUACAAAGUUUUACUUUGUCUUUUUAAGCAUGAACUACUGUUAAGUAUUUCUUUUAAUCAAAGUUCAAGUUAAAUUGGUUAGUUUAAACAUGAUAUAAAAAGAGAUGUUUGAGGGUUGAUAUAUUUUGGCAUAGUUCAUGAAGUUCAACUUUCCAGUAUUGGAGUGAACUAAUUUGGUCUCCAAUUUUAAUUAACUUCAAUAGGUUAAUAAAGUAUACAAUCUUAGCAGGUAAAUAUGCAUUGUCUCUUUUAGCAGGUGAGUUGGGUAGUAAUAGUUUAUUAAGUAAAAUGAGAUAUAUCCAUGCAUUUUAAUUUAUUAAUCUAAAUAAUUAUCAUUUUAUAUUUUGUUGGCUGCUCGUUUUUAUUUAUUUAUUAUUUAGAAGUUUUCUUAGUUUAGUAGUGUGUUAAUUAUCCAAUUAAAAGGUAGAGAUAUGAUAUUUUUUUCUUUUGCUAAACAUGUUACUAGAAUUUAGAAAUUGAAAAGAGAGCUGGCCAAUUAGUUUUCAAUUGGCCAUUGGCUAAUAAAGCCCAUAUCAUGUAAAUACAAUUUCAUCUGGUCCAUUUUUUUAGAUAAUCAUUAGCCGGCCUAGUUGAUUAGAAAAUUAGGUUUCUUUCAAUAAGAUCCAAUAAUGUGAACUUCUUUAAGUAAUAAUCUUUUUGAUAACUUAUUUAUUUUAUUUAAGCACUAAGCAACUAAUAGGCGCGCUUUAACUUUUUUUUUCUUUCACAGGUUCGCUUGCGUAGCGUGUUGUUUUAACCUUCAAUAAGUCAAUUCAAUAAUUUCAUACCAUGCCCAUUAGUUUUAGUUAAUUCUUAAUUUAGUUAAUUUUUGUUAAAAUCGCGGAUUCGCUUGCAUGGCGUGAUAGCUGACUUUUCAAUAAUUUUCAAAACCAAUUUCAUGAUUGGGGAUUCGCGCGCGUGGCGCAGUUAUGUCAAAAAGCA
rnacentral:lncRNA from 1 species